AUUGGCAUUGCAGUCUACUGCAUGCACCAGAAUAUAACUGAAGAUAUUAUUGACGUUGGUAUCUGAAGCAUCGCAAUCUUGGAGUUGGAAAAAAGCUUCAUCAAGACUCUGGCUGGAGGGGAGCAGUAUAAUUGAGGGCACUGGUCUCAUGCCUGAUCAUCGAUAACACUGGAUCUUCGUUAGUGUGUAACUUUCAGAUGCAGUGUUUCUAAGAUGCAGGUUAUACGU